GGGACUGUAGUAACGCCUCUUGCACUGAGAUGCAGUGCCUUAGACCGCUGCAACACUCGGGAGCCCCAACAUUUUUCUUCCUAUAAGCACAAGCAAGACUCGUGUGCAGGCAGGACUCUGCAGUAGUGAUGGUGGAUGCGUUGAUGAGUCUGCAGCCUCACCAGCUGAGCUUCUCUGAGGCAAGCCUCCGUCUCCUGAUCACCCCACUUUCCCCCUACACACGCCUCCGCAUGGCAGGACGAGUGGUCAUCACUGAGGUACACACCACACACACAGCGAGACAGAGGUUGAUCCAUGCUCGGGGCCAGG